rnacentral:misc_RNA from 1 species
ACAAACCCAUCUUUCUUUAGUUUUCUGUUCCUCCAUGGAACUACCUGCUUCAAUCCUUCAUAAAUUGUAGCCUGCAAGAUGUCAAAAAAACUCAAAAAAAUUUCUUCAGCGGUGAUGAUCAAAUGGUUAGAAAAUGAAUAGUUUUUCUUAACGACACUUGAACUUCAACAGCUUAAUCCAAUCAUCUUUAAACUUUCUCUAUCUGCCAUAGCACAAUCAUUUUUAUUUUUUGCUUGCAUCUGCUACUUGGUAAUUUCUCAGUUGUUCAUUUGUUGCCCAAAAACACUAUUCACCAGCACAAUUAAAGGCUUUCUUUCACAGCAGUUAAGGCUAUAUAAGUUUUUUGUUCUUU